rnacentral:rRNA from 1 species
AGAGUUAGGUAAAUCCGGCUCUUUUUAAGGCUGAGACACGACGUCGAGCACCUACGGGUGUGAAGUCAUUGAUGCCAUGCUUCCAGGAAAAGCCUCUAAGCUUCAGAUUGUAAGGAAUCGUACCCCAAACCGACACAGGUGGUCGGGUAGAGAAUACCAAGGCGCUUGAGAGAACUCGGGUGAAGGAACUAGGCAAAAUGGUACCGUAACUUCGGGAGAAGGUACGCUCUCGACGGUGAAGUCCCUCGCGGAUGGAGCUAUUGAGAGUCGCAGAUACCAGGUGGCUGCAACUGUUUAUUAAAAACACAGCACUGUGCAAAAUCGUAAGAUGACGUAUACGGUGUGACGCCUGCCCGGUGCCGGAAGGUUAAUUGAUGGGGUUAGACUUCGGUCGAAGCUCUUGAUCGAAGCCCCGGUAAACGGCGGCCGUAACUAUAACGGUCCUAAGGUAGCGAAAUUCCUUGUCGGGUAAGUUCCGACCUGCACGAAUGGCGUAAUGAUGGCCACGCUGUCUCCACCCGAGACUCAGUGAAAUUGAAAUCGCUGUGAAGAUGCAGUGUACCCGCGGCUAGACGGAAAGACCCCGUGAACCUUUACUACAGCUUGGCACUGAACAUUGACCCUACAUGUGUAGGAUAGGUGGGAGGCUUUGAAGCACGUACGCCAGUAUGUGUGGAGCCGUCCUUGAAAUACCACCCUUGU